rnacentral:tRNA from 1 species
ACCUACUUAACUCAUUGGUUGUUAAAUAUCACUUUCAUACGACAAUAGUUAUUGGUUCAAAUCCAAUAGUAGGUA